AGACAAAUGCAGUUUAGCUGGAGACACUGAUACCUGUACUGGAAAGAAGCUGAGCUGCAGUGUAAAACAUGAGGUCUGGCGGGGAUACAGCAGCAGCCGGCAAUGUGCCAAACCCAUAAUGUGCAUGCACCCUUACGAGAAAAUACAACAGGCAUGAUAUAUCACCCACUAGUUUUGCUUGCGUGUGUAUAGCACCAUACACAUACUCCCCACACCAGCUCUAGAACAACUGAAAAUUAAAGAUGAAGCAAAAUGUGAUUCUUGCCUCUUCUUAUUAGCAAUUCAGGAACACAGGGAAAG